AAAACCAAAAUUUCAAGGGUAGUUCAUGACAAUUUGUUUCUAUGAACCGUUUGAAUCGGGAAGAAGUACUCCAAUUUCUUUCACAGGAAGAUGAAGAUGCAGUCUGAGAAAGAAGCCUAGAAGCAGGGCCCUGAAGCAAGGGUGUGGUUACACCGUAGUUAGCCCACCAAGACAAAGGGUCCUCAUGCCCUCUUGAUGCAAUGAUAUGAGGUUGAUUAAUGUAACCCAACUCACAC
rnacentral:lncRNA from 1 species